rnacentral:pre_miRNA from 11 species
UAUGUGUGUAUGUGUUUGUGCAUAUGUGCAUGUAUGUGUAUAUAUAUACAAACACACACACACACACACACACACACACACA